UAUCUCUGUAGAGUCUGCAUAUCAAUAAGCGGAGGAAAAGAAACUAACUAGGAUUCCCUCAGUAACGGCGAGUGAAGCGGGAAGAGCUCAAAUUUGAAAUCUUCAAGGUUCUACCUUGACGAAUUGUAGUUUAAAGAAGUGUUUUCUGUUGGAGUUUUGGUAAAAGUUCUUUGGAAUAGGACAUCAUAGGAGGGUGAGAAUCCCGUAUUUGACCAUUACUUUCCAGCUUUGUGAUACACUUUCAAAGAGUCGGAUUGUUUGGGAAUGCAGUCCAAAAUGGGUGGUAAAUUUCAUCUAAAGCUAAAUAUUGGCGAGAGACCGAUAGCGAACAAAGUACCGUGAGGGAAAGAUGAAAAGAACUUUGAAAAGAGAGUUAAACAGUACGUGAAAUUGUCAAAAGGGAAGCGUUUGACACCAGUGUUGUUUUCUCGAAAAUCAAUUAAAAAAGGCAGGAUUUUGUGUUGUAUUGACUUUAUCAGCUUUCUGCACUCUUUUCUUGUCUUUUUAAUGCACUUUUCGUUUAACAAGUCAACAUCAAUUUCCUUUGUUGUAAAAGGGUCAUUGGAAGGUGGCUUUCUUUUCGGAGAAAGUGUUUAUAGCCUUUGGCCUCUGCAAUCGGAGAGAUUGAGGUCUGCAGCGUAGAUCCUUCGGGGUUAGAUACAUUUGUGCUAAGUUAUAGCCUUUCAUAGACAACUUGUUGACUAUGAUCAGUCAUGUAGCUUACUCGCUUAUGCUAUUUUACCUACGCUUAGGAUGUUGAAGUCAUCGUAUCGCGC
rnacentral:rRNA from 1 species